AAUCUACUGCAGAGUUCGUCACAAACGAAUGAGUGAUUGAGCCAACACCCAUUGAAAGGGAGACUGAUGUUAUGUUCUGUGCGAUCUCCAUAGCUUGGGAUUGCUAAUGAACAUAGCUUUGACGCAUCUCAAAGAUGCGGAAGGUCACCCACCUGUUGAGAGACAGGUUCAAAUCACCAGUUUGGACGGCUCAUGUGGUUUUUUC
rnacentral:other from 1 species